GCCAUGAGUCCGGUAGGUUGAGGAGGCGGUCUUGAAAACUUGCCGACCGUAAAGGGUUCUGGGGUUCGAAUCCCUAUCAUGGCG
rnacentral:tRNA from 2 species